UUCUUUAAAUUUUACCGAGUACAUUUCAUUCUGGAUAUUGAUAUAACUUGUCAGGUCAUUCAUGCAUGUAGACCUAUAUGUAUGCAUAGUUUGGCAUUCUCAAAACACGUUAUUUACCUUCUUAUUACAUUAUGUGUUAUGACCAUUUGUAUAACAAAAUGCAUUAUUCAAUUGAAGUAUUUUCAAAUGCGUAUAAUUAAAUGUGCUAUCCGAAAUCAUUUUCAUAUUUAUGCCCCCCUUCGAAGAAGAGGGGGUAUAUUGCUUUGCUCCGGUCGGUCCGUCGGUCCGUCCGUCCUUCAGGUGGUUUCCGGAUGAUAACUCAAGAACGCAUACGCCUAGGAUCAUGAAACUUCAUAGGUAGAUUGAUCAUGACUCGCAGAUGACCCCUAUUGAUUUUGAGGUCACUAGGUCAAAGGUCAAGGUCACGGUGACCCGAAAUAGUAAAUUGGUUUCCGGAUGAUAACUCAAGAACGCAUACGCCUAGGAUCAUGAAACUUCAUGGGUAGAUUGAUCAUGACUUGCAGAUGACCCCUAUUGAUUUUGAGGUCACUAGGUCAAAGGUCAAGGUCACGGUGACCCGAAAUAGUAAAAUGGUUUCCGGAUGAUAACUCAAGAAUGCAUAUGCCUAGGAUCAUGAAACUUCAUGGGUAGAUUGAUCAUGACUUGCAGAUGACCCCUAUUGAUUUUGAGGUCACUAGGUCAAAGGUCAAGGUCACGGUGACCCGAAAUAGUAAAAUGGUUUUCGGAUGAUAACUUAAGAACGCAUAUGCCUAGGAUCAUGAAACUUCAUAGGUAGAUUGAUCAUGACUCGCAGAUGACCCCUAUUGAUUUUGAGGUCACAAGGUCAAAGGUCAAGGUCACGGUGACCCGAAAUAGUAAAAUGAUUUUCAGAUGAUAACUCAAGAACGCUUUUGCCUAGGAUCAUGACACUUCAUAGGUACAUUGAUCGUGACUCGCAGAUGCCCCCUAUUGAUUUUCAGGUCACUAGUUUAUUCUGUUUUCACACUGUCUAGUAAAGAGACUUACAAAUUGAAUUUUUGACACAUGUUCAUUCAUAAUGAUGUAUAAGCCUUUGUUUCUGUGCCAGUAAAUACUAUGUUUAUGGAAAUGACGUGAGAAUUCAACAUUUAAAAAACCAAUGUAAUAUGAUAUGUAAUAUUAUGUGGCAACAGGACAGUUGUGAUUUGCUGGGUCAAUUCUAUUUAGCUUGACCAUCCAAGCGGUUGAUAGCUUUGACAAACUGGUGGUCUGAAACAUUGAGAAAAUGUCACAAUUCACUGACAAUAAAUCAAACAUGUAAUUCUUGCUACGCAACUU